AUUGAACGCUGGCGGCAUGCCUUACACAUGCAAGUCGAACGGUAACAGGUCUUCGGAUGCUGACGAGUGACGAACGGGUGAGUAAUACAUCGGAACGUGCCUAGUAGUGGGGAUAACUACUCGAAAGAGUGGCUAAUACCGCAUGAGAUCUACGGAUGAAAGCAGGGGAUUGCAAGACCUUGUGCUACUAGAGCGGCCGAUGGCAGAUUAGGUAGUUGGUGGGAUAAAAGCUUACCAAGCCGACGAUCUGUAGCUGGUCUGAGAGGACGAUCAGCCACACUGGGACUGAGACACGGCCCAGACUCCUACGGGAGGCAGCAGUGGGGAAUUUUGGACAAUGGGCGCAAGCCUGAUCCAGCAAUGCCGCGUGCAGGAUGAAGGCCUUCGGGUUGUAAACUGCUUUUGUACGGAACGAAAAGCCCUGGGUUAAUACCCUGGGGUCAUGACGGUACCGUAAGAAUAAGCACCGGCUAACUACGUGCCAGCCGCCGCGGUAA
rnacentral:rRNA from 1 species